UACAGAGGUCCCAAGCGUUACUUAGAAUCACUGGGUUUAAAGGGUGCGUAGGUGGUCCGUUAAGUCAGUUGUGAAAUCCCCGGGCUCAACCCGGGAACUGCUUCUGAUACUGGCGGACUUGAGGCCAGUAGGGGUCACUAGAACUGACGGUGGAGCGGUGAAAUGCGUAGAUAUCGUCAGGAAUGCCGGUGGUGAAGACGGGUGACUGGGCUGGUUCUGACACUGAGGCACGAAAGCGUGGGGAGCGAACGGG
rnacentral:rRNA from 1 species